AACGAACGCUGGCGGCAUGCCUAACACAUGCAAGUCGAACGAAACCGUCGGGUCUUGGUGCGCACGGGGGCGGGAGGCGGGGGAACCUACCCGUAGGUAAGGAAUAACUCACCGAGGGGGGAGCUAAUAAAGGAGAAUGUAUUAGCACCAAAGAGUUAUCGCCGUUGGGUGGGCGCGGGUUGGAUUAGCUGGUUGGUAGGGUAAAAGCCUACCAAGGCGACGAUCCAGAGCUGGUCGGAGAGGAUGCUCAGCCACACUGGGACUGAGACACGGACCAGAAUCCUACGCAACGCAGCAGUGGAGAAUAUUAGACAAGGGGCGAAAGCCUGAUACAGCAACGUCGCGUGUGUCAUGAAGGCCUUAGUGUUGUACAGCUCUUUUACACGAGAUGUUAAUGACAGUACCGGGAGAAUAAGCACCGGCUAACUACGUG
rnacentral:rRNA from 1 species